rnacentral:rRNA from 1 species
GAUCCUGGCUCAGAAUCAACGCUGGCGGCGCGCCUAACACAUGCAAGUCGAACGAGAAAGUGGAGCAAUCCAUGAGUAAAGUGGCGUACGGGUGAGUAACACGUGGAUCAUCUACCCUCUAGUGGGGAAUACCGCUGGGAAACCGGCGACAAUACCGCAUAAGCUCGAGAGAGGAAAGCAGCAAUGCGCUGGAGGAGGAGUCCGCGGUCGAUUAGUUAGUUGGCAGGGUAAAAGCCUACCAAGACUGUGAUCGAUAGCCGGCCUGAGAGGGCACACGGCCACACUGGCACUGAAACACGGGCCAGACUCCUACGGGAGGCAGCAGUGGGGAAUCUUGCACAAUGGGGGCAACCCUGAUGCAGCGACGCCGCGUGAGUGAUGACGCCCCUCGGGGUGUAAAGCUCUUUCGGCAGGGACGAUUAUGACGGUACCUGCAAAAGCAGCUGCGGCUAACUACGUGCCAGCAGCCGCGGUAAUACGUAGGCAGCAAGCGUUGUUCGGAGUUACUGGGCGUAAAGGGUGCGUAGGCGGCUUUUUAAGUUUGGUGUGAAAUCUCCCGGCUCAACUGGGAGGGUGCGCCGAAUACUGAGAGGCUAGAGUGUGGGAGAGGAAAGUGGAAUUCCUGGUGUAGCGGUGAAAUGCGUAGAUAUCAGGAGGAACACCGGUGGUGUAAACGGCUUUCUGGACCAU